rnacentral:piRNA from 1 species
UAGGUCUAAUUAUACCUGUUUGUUCAGC